UUUCUCCGCCGGGCGACCGGCGCACGGGUGAGUAACACGUAUGCAACCUGCCCCUGUCAGGGGGACAACCCGCCGAAAGGCGGGCUAAACCCGCGUACAUGCCACCGGGGCAUCCCGGAGGCAGGAAAGGCUUCGGCCGGACAGGGAUGGGCAUGCGGCGCAUUAGGCAGUAGGCGGGGUAACGGCCCACCUAACCGACGAUGCGUAGGGGUUCUGAGAGGAAGGUCCCCCACACUGGUACUGAGACACGGACCAGACUCCUACGGGAGGCAGCAG
rnacentral:rRNA from 1 species